UACUACUUCCUCUGUCCCAAA
rnacentral:miRNA from 1 species